CUUCUCGUCCCGGGGGAGUAGUCGCUCUUCUUGUCUGAUAUUUUCUCUCUGAAAAUAUCCCAGACGAAUAUGACAGAGGUUUACAUCAACAUAGUUGGUCCUCAUGACCAUGGUGUAAACAGCCGUAUUGAUCUGCAAUGCGGCCUGACGAGACCUGUGACACAACGCACUGAACCGGGGCCGGAGCAGUGUGAUGUGUCAUAGUGUUUGUUCUCUGCCGGCCCCUA
rnacentral:sRNA from 1 species